rnacentral:miRNA from 1 species
AGUUUCGUGACUACAACUUCUG